rnacentral:rRNA from 1 species
UACGGGGGGAGCAAGCGUUGUUCGGAUUUACUGGGCGUAAAGGGCGCGUAGGCGGUCGUGACAAGUCACUUGUGAAAUCUCCGGGCUUAACUCGGAAAGGUCAAGUGAUACUGUCGGACUAGAGUACAGAAGGGGCAACUGGAAUUCUCGGUGUAGCGGUGAAAUGCGUAGAUAUCGAGAGGAACACCUGCGGCGAAGGCGGGUCGCUGGGCUGAUACUGACGCUGAGGCGCGAAAGCUAGGGGAGCGAACGGG